rnacentral:rRNA from 1 species
GACGAACGCUGGCGGCGUGCCUAAUACAUGCAAGUCGAGCGGAAUGAUGGGAGCUUGCUCCCUGAUUUCAGCGGCGGACGGGUGAGUAACACGUGGGCAACCUGCCCUGCAGAUGGGGAUAACUCCGGGAAACCGGGGCUAAUACCGAAUAACGGUUCUUCCGCAUGGAAGAACUCUGAAAGACGGUUUCGGCUGUCACUGCAGGAUGGGCCCGCGGCGCAUUAGCUAGUUGGUGGGAUAACGGCCUACCAAGGCGACGAUGCGUAGCCGACCUGAGAGGGUGAUCGGCCACACUGGGACUGAGACACGGCCCAGACUCCUACGGGUGGCAG